GGAAGUAAAAGUCGUAACAAGGUUUCCGUAGGUGAACCUGCGGAAGGAUCAUUGUCGAAACCUGCAAAGCAGAAAGACCAGCGGACCCAUUACAACACCCAGGGGUGACCCCAACCCCUGACGCUGAGUGUGUGCAGCCCUGCCUUGCGCCCUCAGCAUAAAACGAACCCAGGCGCGGAACGCGUCAAGGAAUCAUAACGAAACGAGCUCCUGCCGUGGCCCCGGGGACGGUGAUCGCCGCAGCAGCUGUGUUGUGCUUGGUUAAGUCUAAAAUGACUCUCGGCAACGGAUAUCUCGGCUCUCGCAUCGAUGAAGAACGUAGCGAAAUGCGAUACUUGGUGUGAAUUGCAGAAUCCCGUGAACCAUCGAGUCUUUGAACGCAAGUUGCGCCUGAAGCCAUCAGGCUGAGGGCACGUCUGCCUGGGCGUCAAACACCGAUGCCCCCCCAAAUCCCCUCGUCACUCUCCCCUGAGUGCCCGGGGAGUGUGGGGGUCGGAUGAUGGCCUCCCGUGUCUUGGCUCGCGGUUGGCCCAAAGUCGAGUCCUCGGUCACGGUUACCGUGGUGACAGGUGGUUGUCGGUCGCUCGGUACCCCGUCACGUGCGCCGGACACGAAUCGAGACUCUCUUGAUUACCCCAACGCAUCCCCGUUUGGGUGCCUCUGAUGUGACCCCAGGUCAGGCGGGGCUACCCGCUGAGUUUAAGCAUAUCAAUAAGCGGAGGA
rnacentral:rRNA from 1 species